AUACAUAAGAAACGCAAAGAAAACUUAUUGCGCACUAUAUGAAGCAAGUAAUUACCUUCUGCUGGGCGCUUCGCAGGUACUUUCGAAGGCGAAUCAACCUUUGGUUUUGACGCACGAAUUUUGUCAAAGAGGCCAUCCUCGGUAAUAAAUGGAGUUCUGCAAAGACGUCUAGCGAUGAGUAGCUCAGAAGAGAGAUGAAACUCACCCCAAGUCAUGAGCCUUCUUGGACUUUUGACCCCCUACAUCUUCAUCCGCAAGUAAGAAACUCUGCAAUACCUCAGCUCUAUUUCAUUAAUCUAAGACAUCCUCAAAACGCACCGUUUUCUUGCUGACCGCAGACGUCACUCGACCACCAUGUCUCUUGAUCAGAUCUUCAGCUUCUUCGCGC
rnacentral:lncRNA from 1 species